rnacentral:rRNA from 1 species
AUGAAGCACUCUUCUGGACAGAUUAUGAACUAUGUGACAGUUGAUGCCUACAGGGUUGGGGAAUUCCCGUACUGGUUCCACCAAACAUGGACAACAACUAUUCAACUUUGCAUUGCUCUGGCAAUUCUGUACAAUGCAGUUGGUGCUGCAGCGGUCUCAUCAUUCGCUGUUAUUGUUAUCACCGUAGUUGGUAAUGCUCCAUUGGCGAAACUACAGAACAAAUUUCAGAGUAAGCUUAUGGAAGCACAAGAUGUGAGAUUGAAGGCCAUGUCUGAGUCAUUAGUUCAUAUGAAGAUCUUGAAGCUUUAUGCAUGGGAAGCUCACUUCAAGAAGGUCAUCGAGGGGUUGAGGGAGGUUGAGUAUAAGUGGUUGUCAGCAUUCUUGCUUAGGAGGGCAUACAACAGUAUCGUGUUCUGGUCAUCACCUGUUUUAGUUUCAGCGGCAACCUUUCUAACAUGCUAUCUUUUGAAAAUCCCUCUUGACGCUAGCAACGUCUUCACGACUGUAGCAACUCUGCGUCUUGUGCAGGAGCCAGUUAGAUCAAUACCAAUUGUUAUCGCAGUUGCAAUACAAGCCAAGGUUGCUUUCACUCGGAUAUCAAAGUUUCUUGAUGCACCUGAGCUGAAUGGGCAAGUUAGGAAGAAAUACCGUCUGGGCACCGAUUAUCCAAUAGCGUUGAACUCAUGCAGUUUCUCCUGGGAUGAGAAUCCAUCAAAACCAACUCUAAAGAAUGCAAAUCUGGUGGUCAAAGCUGGAGAAAAGAUUGCAAUUUGUGGAGAAGUGGGAUCAGGAAAAUCAACACUUUUGGCUGCUGUACUCGGAGAGGUCCCAAAAACUGAAGGCACGAUUCAAGUCUGUGGAAGAAUAGCAUAUGUUUCUCAGACUGCAUGGAUCCAAACAGGAUCUAUACAAGAUAAUAUCCUCUUUGGAUCUUUGAUGGACAGACAAAUGUACCAAGAAACACUUGCAAGGUGCUCGUUGCUCAAGGACCUUGAAAUGCUGCCAUUCGGCGACCUUACUCAAAUUGGGGAGAGAGGAAUAAAUCUUAGUGGUGGUCAGAAGCAGCGUGUUCAGCUUGCUCGUGCAUUAUACCAGAAUGCCGACAUCUAUCUUCUUGAUGACCCUUUCAGUGCUGUCGAUGCCCAUACAGCAACACGUCUCUUUAAUGAUUAUGUCAUGGGUAUUCUAUCAGACAAGACUGUUCUUUUGGUGACCCACCAAGUGGAUUUUCUACCCGUAUUUGACUCCAUUCUGUUAAUGUCAGAUGGGGAGGUUAUUCGGUCUGCACCUUAUCAAGAUUUAUUGUCAGACUGUCAAGAAUUUAAAUACCUUGUAAAUGCCCAUAAAGAUACUACUGGUGUUUCAGAUCUUAACAAUAUGGCCCGUCACAGAGCAAAGGAUUUACCAAUAAAGGAGACAGAUGGUAUUUAUGGAAACAGAUAUAUAGAGUCUGUGAAGCCAUCACCAGUAGAUCAACUGAUCAAAACAGAGGAAAGAGAAUCAGGGGACGCAGGUCUUAAGCCUUAUAUCCUAUACCUGCGCCAGAAAAAAGGCUUCCUGUAUGCCUCCCUUUCUGUCAUGUCUCACAUAAUUUUCAUAGCUGGGCAAAUAUCACAGAAUUCAUGGAUGGCCGCUAAUGUCCAAAAUCCUGAUGUUAGUGCACUGAAGUUAAUUUCUGUGUACAUUGUUAUUGGAGUUUGCACGGUGUUCUUUGUGCUAUCAAGAUCUAUAUUCUUCGUUGUUCUUGGGAUGCAGACUUCAAGAUCCUUAUUUUCCCAGUUACUUAAUUCAUUGUUCCGUGCACCCAUGUCCUUCUUUGAUUCUACUCCUCUAGGCAGGGUUCUUAGCCGGGUCUCUUCAGAUUUAAGCAUCAUUGACCUUGAUGUUCCAUUUGCAUUGAUGUUUGGCUUUAGUUCCAGCUUAAAUGCGUAUAGCAAUCUGGGGGUAUUGGCUGUUGUUACAUGGCAAGUUCUGUUUGUAUCAUUGCCAAUGAUAGUUUUGGCAAUUCGGUUACAGAGGUAUUACUUAGCAUCGGCUAAGGAAUUGAUGCGUAUCAAUGGCACUACCAAGUCUGCUCUAGCAAAUCACUUAGGUGAAUCGAUCUCAGGGGUUAUAACAAAUACGUGCCUUUGA